rnacentral:rRNA from 1 species
GAUGAACGCUGGCGGCGUGCCUAAUACAUGCAAGUCGAGCGAACUGAUUAGAAGCUUGCUUCUAUGACGUUAGCGGCGGACGGGUGAGUAACACGUGGGCAACCUGCCUGUAAGACUGGGAUAACUUCGGGAAACCGAAGCUAAUACCGGAUAGGAUCUUCUCCUUCAUGGGAGAUGAUUGAAAGAUGGUUUCGGCUAUCACUUACAGAUGAGCCCGCGGUGCCUUAGCUAGUUGGUGAGGUAACGGCUCACCAAGGCAACGAUGCAUAGCGGACCGGAGAAGGUGAUGGGCCAAAAUGGGACGGAGAAACGGCGCAGACGCCUACGGGAGGAAGCAGUAGGGAAUCUUCCGCAAGGGACGAAAGUCUGACGGGGCAACGCAGCUGGAGUGAUGAAGGCUUUCGGGUCGUAAAACUCUGUUGUUAGGGAAGAACAAGUACGAGAGUAACUGCUCGUACCUUGACGGUACCUAACCAGAAAGCCACGGCUAACUACGUGCCAGCCGCCGCGGUAACAC